GACGAACGCUGGCGGCGUGCCUAAUACAUGCAAGUUGAGCGCUGAAGGUUGGUACUUGUACCGACUGGAUGAGCAGCGAACGGGUGAGUAACGCGUGGGGAAUCUGCCUUUGAGCGGGGGACAACAUUUGGAAACGAAUGCUAAUACCGCAUAAAAACUUUAAACACAAGUUUUAAGUUUGAAAGAUGCAAUUGCAUCACUCAAAGAUGAUCCCGCGUUGUAUUAGCUAGUUGGUGAGGUAAAGGCUCACCAAGGCGAUGAUACAUAGCCGACCUGAGAGGGUGAUCGGCAACAUUGGGACUGAGACACGGCCCAAACUCCUACGGGAGGCAGCAGUAGGGAAUCGUCGGCAAUGGACGAAAGUCUGACCGAGCAACGCCGCGUGAGGGAAGAAGGGUGUCGGAUCGUAAAACUCGGUUGGUAGAGAAGAACGUUGGUGAGAGUGGAAAGCUCAUCAAGUGACGGUAACUACCCAGAAAGGGACGGCUAACUACGUG
rnacentral:rRNA from 1 species